rnacentral:rRNA from 1 species
GGUUAAGCGACUAAGCGUACACGGUGGAUGCCCUGGCAGUCAGAGGCGAUGAAGGACGUGCUAAUCUGCGAUAAGCGUCGGUAAGGUGAUAUGAACCGUUAUAACCGGCGAUUUCCGAAUGGGGAAACCCAGUGUGAUUCGUCACACUAUCAUUAACUGAAUCCAUAGGUUAAUGAGGCGAACCGGGGGAACUGAAACAUCUAAGUACCCCGAGGAAAAGAAAUCAACCGAGAUUCCCCCAGUAGCGGCGAGCGAACGGGGAGCAGCCCAGAGCCUGAAUCAGUGUGUGUGUUAGUGGAAGCGUCUGGAAAGGCGCGCGAUACAGGGUGACAGCCCCGUACACAAAAAUGCACAUACUGUGAGCUCGAUGAGUAGGGCGGGACACGUGGUAUCCUGUCUGAAUAUGGGGGGACCAUCCUCCAAGGCUAAAUACUCCUGACUGACCGAUAGUGAACCAGUACCGUGAGGGAAAGGCGAAAAGAACCCCGGCGAGGGGAGUGAAAAAGAACCUGAAACCGUGUACGUACAAGCAGUGGGAGCACGCUUCGGCGUGUGACUGCGUACCUUUUGUAUAAUGGGUCAGCGACUUAUAUUCUGUAGCAAGGUUAACCGAAUAGGGGAGCCGAAGGGAAACCGAGUCUUAACUGGGCGUUAAGUUGCAGGGUAUAGACCCGAAACCCGGUGAUCUAGCCAUGGGCAGGUUGAAGGUUGGGUAACACUAACUGGAGGACCGAACCGACUAAUGUUGAAAAAUUAGCGGAUGACUUGUGGCUGGGGGUGAAAGGCCAAUCAAACCGGGAGAUAGCUGGUUCUCCCCGAAAGCUAUUUAGGUAGCGCCUCGUGAAUUCAUCUCCGGGGGUAGAGCACUGUUUCGGCAAGGGGGUCAUCCCGACUUACCAACCCGAUGCAAACUGCGAAUACCGGAGAAUGUUAUCACGGGAGACACACGGCGGGUGCUAACGUCCGUCGUGAAGAGGGAAACAACCCAGACCGCCAGCUAAGGUCCCAAAGUCAUGGUUAAGUGGGAAACGAUGUGGGAAGGCCCAGACAGCCAGGAUGUUGGCUUAGAAGCAGCCAUCAUUUAAAGAAAGCGUAAUAGCUCACUGGUCGAGUCGGCCUGCGCGGAAGAUGUAACGGGGCUAAACCAUGCACCGAAGCUGCGGCAGCGACACUAUGUGUUGUUGGGUAGGGGAGCGUUCUGUAAGCCUGUGAAGGUGGCCUGUGAGGGUUGCUGGAGGUAUCAGAAGUGCGAAUGCUGACAUAAGUAACGAUAAAGCGGGUGAAAAGCCCGCUCGCCGGAAGACCAAGGGUUCCUGUCCAACGUUAAUCGGGGCAGGGUGAGUCGACCCCUAAGGCGAGGCCGAAAGGCGUAGUCGAUGGGAAACAGGUUAAUAUUCCUGUACUUGGUGUUACUGCGAAGGGGGGACGGAGAAGGCUAUGUUGGCCGGGCGACGGUUGUCCCGGUUUAAGCGUGUAGGCUGGUUUUCCAGGCAAAUCCGGAAAAUCAAGGCUGAGGCGUGAUGACGAGGCACUACGGUGCUGAAGCAACAAAUGCCCUGCUUCCAGGAAAAGCCUCUAAGCAUCAGGUAACAUCAAAUCGUACCCCAAACCGACACAGGUGGUCAGGUAGAGAAUACCAAGGCGCUUGAGAGAACUCGGGUGAAGGAACUAGGCAAAAUGGUGCCGUAACUUCGGGAGAAGGCACGCUGAUAUGUAGGUGAAGCGACUUGCUCGUGGAGCUGAAAUCAGUCGAAGAUACCAGCUGGCUGCAACUGUUUAUUAAAAACACAGCACUGUGCAAACACGAAAGUGGACGUAUACGGUGUGACGCCUGCCCGGUGCCGGAAGGUUAAUUGAUGGGGUUAGCGGUAACGCGAAGCUCUUGAUCGAAGCCCCGGUAAACGGCGGCCGUAACUAUAACGGUCCUAAGGUAGCGAAAUUCCUUGUCGGGUAAGUUCCGACCUGCACGAAUGGCGUAAUGAUGGCCAGGCUGUCUCCACCCGAGACUCAGUGAAAUUGAACUCGCUGUGAAGAUGCAGUGUACCCGCGGCAAGACGGAAAGACCCCGUGAACCUUUACUAUAGCUUGACACUGAACAUUGAGCCUUGAUGUGUAGGAUAGGUGGGAGGCUUUGAAGUGUGGACGCCAGUCUGCAUGGAGCCGACCUUGAAAUACCACCCUUUAAUGUUUGAUGUUCUAACGUUGGCCCCUGAUCGGGGUUGCGGACAGUGUCUGGUGGGUAGUUUGACUGGGGCGGUCUCCUCCUAAAGAGUAACGGAGGAGCACGAAGGUUGGCUAAUCCUGGUCGGACAUCAGGAGGUUAGUGCAAUGGCAUAAGCCAGCUUGACUGCGAGCGUGACGGCGCGAGCAGGUGCGAAAGCAGGUCAUAGUGAUCCGGUGGUUCUGAAUGGAAGGGCCAUCGCUCAACGGAUAAAAGGUACUCCGGGGAUAACAGGCUGAUACCGCCCAAGAGUUCAUAUCGACGGCGGUGUUUGGCACCUCGAUGUCGGCUCAUCACAUCCUGGGGCUGAAGUAGGUCCCAAGGGUAUGGCUGUUCGCCAUUUAAAGUGGUACGCGAGCUGGGUUUAGAACGUCGUGAGACAGUUCGGUCCCUAUCUGCCGUGGGCGCUGGAGAACUGAGGGGGGCUGCUCCUAGUACGAGAGGACCGGAGUGGACGCAUCACUGGUGUUCGGGUUGUCAUGCCAAUGGCACUGCCCGGUAGCUAAAUGCGGAAGAGAUAAGUGCUGAAAGCAUCUAAGCACGAAACUUGCCCCGAGAUGAGUUCUCCCUGACCCUUUAAGGGUCCUGAAGGAACGUUGAAGACGACGACGUUGAUAGGCCGGGUGUGUAAGCGCAGCGAUGCGUUGAGCUAACCGGUACUAAUGAACCGUGAGGCUUAACCUU